rnacentral:rRNA from 1 species
UACGUAGGGGGCAAGCGUUGUCCGGAAUCAUUGGGCGUAAAGCGCGUGUAGGCGGUCCGGUAAGUCCGCUGUGAAAGUCCAGGGCUCAACCCUGGGAUGCCGGUGGAUACUGUCGGGCUAGAGUACGGAAGAGGCGAGUGGAAUUCCCGGUGUAGCGGUGAAAUGCGCAGAUAUCAGGAGGAACACCGAUGGCGAAGGCAGGUCUCUGGGCCGUUACUGACGCUGAGGAGCGAAAGCAUGGAGAGCGAACAGG